rnacentral:tRNA from 1 species
AGGAGUUUAGGUUAGUCUAGACCAAGAGCCUUCAAAGCCCUAAGCAAGUACAAUAUACUUAACUCCUG